CUUGAAAAGGGAGACAUCGUUGAAACGGUUAGAGUAAUUCCGAAUCCAAGUCCACCUUCUUCCAAAUCUCUGCACACUUUCUCUCUCUUCCUCUGUUUUAUUGCUCUGUUUGUGUAUGAGAAGAUUAAGAGAACCUUCACUCUUCAGUCUUUGUGGUUUCCUCUUACUCUUUCUGUUUUGAUGGGCCAUAUAUAUGCAGAAAAGCAAAGAGACGAUUGGGUGAAUUGAAAUUUUUUGGAGUUUGGUAGGUUGUGAUCUUUGAAAAAUGAAGGAAGAUGUUGAGACGGACUCUCCCAAAGGAGUUCUUGAGGACUAUUUUAGGAGUUCGGAUUCUGAAACAAGCUUUUCCAAAGAGCCGACUGCGGACUCUGAAAAUCACCAAAUAUCAAAACCAACUUCUCGGUGGCAUGGACUUGUGCAAUUAUUGAGAACUAAAUCCAAGAAACCCAUAGCCACAACAAUGCAUCCUCUCGUGAAAUUCUCAAAAAGAAUGAGCAGUAGUAUGCGUGAGAUUAUAACGCCGAAGUUUCAGUCAGAUAUUGAUGAUAUGUACCCUUUCAAGUCACCAUGGAAGAACUUCUCCCUGUAUGAGCUCCAGGCUGCCACCAAGUCUUUCAGCCACGAAAAUCAGAUUGGAAAGGGGGGUUAUGCUGAAGUUUACAAGGGCUGUCUACCAAAUGGGCAACUUGUGGCAGUCAAACGGCUAACCCGGGGGACACCGGAAGAGAUUACCGGGGACUUCUUAGCAGAGAUUGGUAUCAUGGCUCACGUGAAUCAUCCAAAUACUGCCAGGUUAAUUGGGUAUGGGGUUGAAGGAGGGAUGCACUUGGUUCUGGAAUUGUCUCCAAAAGGGAGCUUAGCUUCUGUGCUUUAUGGUUCAAAGGAGAAGCUUGAUUGGGGGAUCAGGUAUAAAAUUGCAUUAGGUGCAGGUAAGGGUUUACAAUAUCUUCAUGAGGGCUGUCAAAGGAGAAUUAUCCACAGAGAUAUUAAGGCUGCAAAUAUUUUGCUAACAGAGGAUUUUGAGGCCAAGAUUUGUGACUUUGGUCUUGCAAAAUGGCUACCAGAGAAAUGGACUCACCACACUAUAUCAAAAUUUGAGGGCACAUUUGGCUAUCUUGCUCCCGAGUUCCUACUGCACGGCAUAGUAGAUGAAAAAACUGAUGUUUUUGCCUAUGGUGUGGUGCUGUUGGAACUAGUCACCGGACGCCGAGCACUAGAUUACUCUCAGCAAAGCCUUGUUUUGUGGGCAAAGCCCUUGCUGAAAAAGAAUGAGGUUAAAAGCUUAGUCGAUCCUUCUCUAAGAGAUGAGUACAACACUCGGCAGAUGAAUCUCGUAUUGCUGGUUGCUUCUGCAUGCAUACAACAGUCCUCAAUACGAAGGCCAAGUAUGAAUCAGGUGGUACAACUUUUGACUGGAGAUCUUAGCAGCUUGAAGUGCAUGAAGAAAAGCCGAAUGCCGUUUUACCGGAAAGCAUUUCAGGAUGAGCACAUCAACACAGAAGACCAUGUCCAACCAAGAAUUAAAGGACCUUAAUCGGCAUUAUGGAGUGGGGGUUCGCCUGGAACUGUGGAAGCCAUGAGGUUGUUGUCCCAUGAGACAAGUAAUGUGACAUGGGAACUUUUGGAGUAAUGGGAAUGGAAACUAGGAGUUUCUGGUUUUGGUCCAUCAAGUCCAAAGAAGGAAAGGACGACUAUGGUUCUCAAACUGUGUAAGUGUAUUUAAGAGUUAAAGAACAAAAGGAAAGAGUGACAAUUUGUUUAUCCAACCCAUGUACAUAAUACAAACUACAAUCAAAGAAAUGAAUGUUAGUAAGUUAAGCAAACUGUUUUAAUUAUC